UUCCGAACAUGUAUGCUUGACAAUCUGACACUCUUAUGCGAUAAAAGAACACUCUUACAGCUUAAUAGAAUACUUUUAUUAGCUUUAUGGUUGUGAACACUCUUUUAUCAUAGUAGAACACUUCUAGGGCUUAAUAGAAUACUUUUAUCAGGUUUAUAGUUGCGAACAUGUAUGCAUUGCAAUCUUACCCUCUUAUUACUUAAUAGAACAUUCUUAAAUAUCAUAGAACACUGCUAUCAGUUUUAGGCUUUAUAACAGUUUUAUGGCAUAAUAGAACAAUUGUAAAUAUUAAUAGAACACUCUGAAUAGGUUUAUGGUUGUCAACACUCUUUUGUCAUAGUAGAAUAGAACACUCUUAGGCCCCGUUUGGAUCGCGGGAUAAGCAGGGAUAACGAAAGUUAUCCCCGCUAUUC
rnacentral:lncRNA from 1 species